CCUUGUAAUAGAGGACAGCCGCUGCGAUCAGCUGACGCCAUCAAUACAACCUUCGCGUCCACUGCAUCAGUUUCGAUGUCGCCCUUAUAUCACCUGACAACAGCAACAAAAUCUUCACGCAAACGGAAGAUACAUAAUAGAUAAAAUGCAUCAAGUCUAGCAAAAAUAAUAUUCAAGCCUUGCUAGCCAUCAAAAUUAACGCUCCAUUGUGAACAUCUCUCAACAUUAGCAGUCGUGCAGGCACCGAGAGGAGAAAACCUUCACGCAAAGUGUACAUAUCACAGGGGAGUUGUGGCCAGGUGGCAGUCAGCAAUCUUACAAGGCACCAGCUGCAUAUCCACUUUGUGGACCCUCCUUACUACUACGUUCUUCUUUGUGCUUUGGG
rnacentral:misc_RNA from 1 species